UACGGAGGGUGCAAGCGUUUAAUCGGAAUUACUGGGCGUAAAGCGCACGCAGGUGGCUAAGUCAGUCGAUUGUGAAAGCCCUGGGCUUAACCUGGGAAUUGCAGUCGAUACUACUUAGCUAGAGUAUGGGAGAGGGCAGUGGAAUUCCCGGUGUAGCGGUGAAAUGCGUAGAUAUCGGGAGGAACAUCAGUGGCGAAGGCGGCUGCCUGGCCCAAUACUGACACUCAGGUGCGACAGCGUGGGGAGCAAACAGG
rnacentral:rRNA from 1 species